AGUCCUAUGGUCUAGUGGUAUGAGUAAGUCGACAUUGCAAUCCGAGUCCCCACGAACACCAUCUAAUCAUCUCGCAGCGUUCGCUUCACAACCAUCAACCGUGCCCCGGUGAUAUUGUAGAAGCGCGAAAGGUCCUGGGUUCGAUCCCCAGUGGGACUA
rnacentral:tRNA from 1 species